UAUAAUGGAGAUAAUACCCCU
rnacentral:piRNA from 1 species